rnacentral:rRNA from 1 species
GACGUAGGGCGCGAGCGUUUGUCCGGAUUUAUUGGGCGUAAAGAGCUCGUAGGCGGCUUGUCGCGUCGUCCGUGAAAACCCGGGGCUCAACUCGGAGAGGCCAGUUGAUACUGCCGUGGCUAGAGUCCGGUAGGGGAGCGUGGAAUUCCUGGUGUAGCGGUGAAAUGCGCAGAUAUCAGGAGGAACACCAAUGGCGAAGGCAGCACUCUGGGACGUGACUGACGCUGAGACGCGAAAGCGUGGGGAGCAAACAGG